AUUGAACGCUAGCGGCAGGCCUAACACAUGCAAGUCGAGCGAGCGGCGGACGGGUGAGUAAUGUAUGGGGACUGCCCGAUAGAGGGGGAUAACUACUGGAAAAGGUGGCUAAUACCGCAUACUGUCGGAUAACCCAUAUGGGAUUAGCUAGUAGGUAAGGUAAUGGCUUACCUAGGCGAAGAUCCCUAGCUGGUCUGAGAGGAUGAUCAGCCACACUGGUACUGAGACACGGCCGCGACUCCUACGGGGGCAGCAGUGGGAAAUUAUGCACAGUGGGCACAAGCCUGAUGCAGCCGUGCCGCGUGUAGUAAGAAGGCCCUAGGGUGGUAAAGUACUUUCAGUCGGGAGGCGUGACCGACAGAAGAAGGACCGGCUAACUCCGUGCCAGCAGCCGCGGUAAUUC
rnacentral:rRNA from 1 species